GGAUGUGAGGGCAAUCUGUCCGUGACAUCUGUCACCACACUGAUUGAAAGAGUUGAUUUGGCUGAUGUGGCUAGCAAGACAAAUGUCUCCUUCUUCCCAGACAGCUUCAUGUGAUUCCCUCCUGAAGCUGUGUGCUUGGUGGAAGAGGACCAGUAUCCUUAGGUAAGAGUGCUCUGUUAUUCGAUCAAGAGUGUACAAUAGCUGCACUCCCCUUCUACAACCUCCACACAAGCUCAAAAUCUACUUAUUUGCUGUAAACCAACUGGAGACCCUAUGGGAUACAAAUGCAGACACACAAACAAUUAAUGUUUAUAUAUUCCCUAAAUAUUUCUAUACUAUU
rnacentral:snRNA from 1 species